rnacentral:sRNA from 12 species
CCUACGGAGUGUCAAAACAACCAUAGUAGAUUAUCGAGGUGGGACACGAUGAACUAGGAA